rnacentral:rRNA from 1 species
ACGGAAGGCAGCAGUGAGGAAUAUUGGUCAAUGGGCGGAAGCCUGAACCAGCCAAGUCGCGUGAAGGAUGAAGGUAUUAUGUAUUGUAAACUUCUUUAGACGUAGAGAAAUAAGAGGCUCGUGAGCCUUGACGCUAGUAUACGUAGAAUAAGGAUCGGCUAACUCCGUGCCAGCAGCCGCGGUAAUACGGAGGAUCCGAGCGUUAUCCGGAUUUAUUGGGUUUAAAGGGUGCGCAGGCGGCCCUGUAAGUCAGCGGUUAAAUCGUGGAGCUCAACUCCAUCCCGCCGUUGAUACUGCAGGGCUUGAUUGCGGUCGAGGUUGGCGGAAUUCGCCGUGUAGCGGUGAAAUGCAUAGAUAUGGCGAAGAACUCCGAUUGCGUAGGCAGCUGACCAGGCCGUAAAUGACGCUCAUGCACGAAAGUGCGGGGAUCGAACAGGAUUAGAUACCCUGGUA